GGCUAGCUGACUGACUGACUGGGUGGGUGGCUGACUGACUGACUGACUGGGUGGGUGGCUGACUGACUGAGUGGCUGACUGACUGACUGACUGGGUGGGUGGCUGACUGACUGAGUGGCUAGCUGACUGACUGAGUGGCUAACUGGCUGACUGACUGGGUGGGUGGGUGGCUGACUGACUGAGUGGCUAACUGGCUGACUGACUGGGUGGGUGGCUGACUGACUGAGUGGCUAACUGGCUGACUGACUGGGUGGGUGGCUGACUGACUGAGUGGCUAGCUGGCUGACUGACUGGCUAGCUAACUGGCUGACUGGCUGACUGACUGACUGGCUAACUGACUGACUGGCUGGCUAACUAAGUGGCUAGCUAACUGACUGACUGGCUGACCUACUGACUAACUGAUUGACUGAUUGAUCGUGUGGUGAUGAACAAGCAAAAUGGUGAUGAGAGAGUGAGAUACGAGUCCCCGCAACACCACUUAAACAGCUUCCAGUGGUGGUGAUGAAGGGGUGGUGGUGGUGGUGGUGAUGAAGUGUCUGUUGGUGGAAAUGGAAAAAAUAAAUUGUACAGUAUCCUAAA